rnacentral:rRNA from 1 species
AUGACUGGACCUAAGCGAGGCAUCUCAAUGACUUCCUCUGUUCUAAUAGAGUUUGACAUGAGGAUUAAGAAAGGAGAGCAAGAAGAAGAUGAUCUACAAUUAGUUGACGGGGCAGCAGACUACUGCAAUCUAACCAUGCCUUGCACGCCAUUCACGAAUCGCAUUCAUGGGGAUUGUGGUGCAGUUGACAUCACUUUAGCAAUGUUGUACAGGGCAGUGGAGGCAACAAUAGAGGUUGAUAUAUCAAAACUGCAGAGUGGAUUCAAUUUGUCUCUCAGUUCGUUUGUGUUUAUCCGUGGGUCACCUCACAGAAUUGAGCUCUUUCGUGGCACUAUUGGCGAGUCAUGUAGCUUAAGAAGAUGUGUGAUUUCCGUAACAAAGGAUACUCCGAUGCAUCUAAAGUUGAAAUAUGGUCAAGAAGGCUCUAAAAAUGGUGAGCUUGAACGCUGCUGCUAUUUCAAAGCGAGCAUCCAUGGACGUGCCUGUCGACAAAUUAAACUUGAGCCUGCCUCUACCUCAGUGAAGGUGACUUGGUCUGCUGUUUUUUGA